rnacentral:lncRNA from 1 species
AUGUAAAUAAGUAGCUAGAUGUAAACAAAAAUGAUAAAAUUUUUGAUUUUUUUAAAACUAUAUAAUUAAAUUGCCAGUCUAUAAUUACUCAGUUGAAGAUGUUUAGCAGUAUGUCGCUGGUGGAAUAAUAAAUUAUUAUAAUAAAAAAUGUCAACUUUGUGACUAUUCUGGCAUGUUGAUACCGUGGCUGUUUUAACAUUUUUAAUAUUUAAAUGAUUUAUUAAUUCAAAUCCUUCUGGCACACAUUUAGAGUUCAUUUUAUAAAUCAAUUUAUUGACAUAUAUUGAUCAAUGCAUUUAUUAAGUACUCUUCUGGUGCAAACGCAGGCUUGUAAUUCCAUGUGGAAAAAUCAAAUUUCUCCCAAAAAUGCCCAAGUUUCAACCAAGUUGAUAUUUUUUAAAAGAACUUAAAAACCAUGUUAUUUUAUUUUGCUAUUUAUAUUGUGUAAGGAUAUUUUGACCUUAUUUUCAAAAUAAAGUUUUAGUGUAGCAUG